rnacentral:rRNA from 1 species
CCUACGGGAGGCAGCAGUGAGGAAUAUUGGUCAAUGGACGAGAGUCUGAACCAGCCAAGUAGCGUGAAGGAUGACUGCCCUAUGGGUUGUAAACUUCUUUUAUAUGGGAAUAAAAUGUUCCACGUGUGGCCUUUUGUAUGUACCUUAUGAAUAAGGAUCGGCUAACUCCGUGCCAGCAGCCGCGGUAAUACGGAGGAUCCGAGCGUUAUCCGGAUUUAUUGGGUUUAAAGGGAGCGUAGGCGGGUGGUUAAGUCAGUUGUGAAAGUUUGCGGCUCAACCGUAACAUUGCAGUUGAAACUGGUAGUCUUGAGUACAGUAGAGGUGGGCGGAAUGCGUGGUGUAGCGGUGAAAUGCAUAGAUAUCACGAAGAACUCCGAUUGCGAAGGCAGCUUACUGGACUGCAACUGACACUGAGGCUCGAAAGUGUGGGUAUCAAACAGGAUUAGAUACCCGAGUAGUC